rnacentral:tRNA from 1 species
GGCUUCGUAGCUCAGCUGGUAGAGCGCUUGCCGCGUAGAGGCAUGAUGUUUCUGUCGCUGGUUUGAAUCCAGCCGAAGCCC